AUCUCGUAUUUCCGGGUCUCUUUAAGGUCGCUGUUUCCACGUGUAAUAUUAUGAAAACAUCAGUAAGGUUAAAAGGUUCUCGCGUGAGAUCUGAAAAUCUAAGUUAGCCCUGACUCUACGAUGCUUACCUACUGUAUGAGAAAGCGACUUUGUCGUGUGAAUUCGAACCUGCUGCAGUUCUAUAAACACUACGGGAAGAGCAGCGAUGGAGGAUCUGAUCCAGCCAGUAGCAUGAUGCAGCUGCUCCAGCGGCGGUUCUUCAUCCCUCCAGAAGACUAUCAUGCUGUGUCUUUACUCAAAGGCAAGGCCUGUGCGUAUGGACCCUUAGGAGUGGAUCUGAAGAGGAACAUGUUAGAGCAGUGGUGGUCUUCUAUGGUCAGAUCAAGACCUCAGGUGUUUGGGAUAAGCACCCUUCAUGGAGUAGGAGAUAAGGGUGCAGGAGAAGUUGAGGAUCUGUCUAAAGAGAGCAAGCUUGUUCGGCGGAGGCAACCUUUCCGGACCAGUCUCCUUCAAGGUGCUUUGGCGCAGUACAUCCCAUCCCUGGAGCUCAUGAACAGGAAGCUGCCGUUUGGUCUGGCUGAAACGGGUCUGUGUUACCGGCCUGAAGAGGAUGACUCUGAUGCAAUCGGUUGCUCUGCAGAGGUGACUGAGGCGUCGCUCGUGUGGUUCUGUUCCUUCCGGACGUCCUUGCAGUGGCUCGACUACUGGACACAACACAGACUACAGUGGUGGAGAAAGUUUGCUUUAGGGCCAUCUGACUUCAGCAUGUGUGACGUUCAGGAUGAUGAGCUAAUCGACGGCGCGUCCCGUGGAGCGAAGGUGCUCUAUAAGUUCCCCUGGGGCACAGAGACGCUGGAAACACUGUGGAUGUUCAGCGAAGCGGAGCUGCUCAAGAGGCACCCGAGCAAUCAAGCCAAACUAGAAUGCAGAGACGGGAAGAAAGCUGUAGUGCCUCAUGUCCUCUCUCUCGGUGCGAAUAUGGACAGGGGAGUCCUGGCUGUCCUCCUGAACUCCUUACAGGACAUCCAGAAAGUGGACAACAAGCAGAGGCUUCAUCAGAGAACAGUGUUGAAGCUACAUCCUACAUUAGCUCCGGUUAAAGUGGCACUGGAUAUGGGCAAAGGAUCCACCUCAGAGCUCAGACAGAAUCGAACUUUUAACAGAAUUUAUUACAUCAACCAUUGAUCCCUAAUGAGCAAGCCAGACGCGAUGAUGUUGAGGAUGAACUCCGAGACGACAUCAGGAAGAAAUCAUGAGAGGAAGCAGACUCGUAAGGAAACGCAUCCUCGUCUGGGUGAUACCGGACGAGUGUGAUUUAUAAAUCGUUUCCCUUCUACAACAAAUAUUAAAAUAAAUAAAUAAAAUUUUGUGAUUUUUUUUUUUUAUCCGUUUUAAGAAGGGGGAGCUAAACGUGUCCUCGCAAAUCACAAGGCUGAUGUCGGUUUUUCAGUUAACUAUGCGUGUUUCUGAUCUCACUUUGUCUUUCGACUCAGAAAUGUAAAACUAGUCUUAGGGAGCUCUGGAAAUAGUGCCGGUUGAAACUAACAUUAGGACGACGUUAAAAUGGAAUUUAGGCUGGUUUAGUCGUGUCUUUGUCAUGUCACACUCCACAGUGGUGGAUAAUAUGAAGCUCAUAUGAAAGUAGACACUCGGGACCUUAAGGAUUUAUAGUUUUUAAUAAGUAUUUCUUUAAUCUAGCCGAUUAGGGGAAUAAAUCGUUAUAUUUUUCCACCGAAUUGUUUCUAUCAUGUUGAUAUCAAACCCAUGUCUGCUCUCUGAGACGCCCCAUCAUAAACAUCUAUCAUUUCAAGGCGUUAUCAUCAACCACUGUUGACAACUCCGUGUAAGGUUAUCCCAACAGAGGAGAAAAAACACACCCCUCAUACUGAAAGAGUCCUAACUUGGGUUAUAAAUAUCUUAAAGGUGUGUGAGGGUCUUCUUCACGAACUCCUAGAAGUAGGAAUCAGUGCAUGGCCUGGAUACAUGGACACCACACAUUCCUCCAUGGACAAACUGCACACCAAGUAUGAUGAGAUGGGAGUGCUGUUUACGGUGAUGGUCGGAGAGAACAC